AGGGGGCUGGUGACUAUCCAACUGGGAGGAAGCUCUGCCCACUCAAUUACGUAGAUUUCCUGAGAAGGAAUAAACAAAGUAUAGAAACGACACGGUUCCAAAAAAUAUGACUAUGAUAUUUUAAAAUUGAGGAUUUUUGGAAAAUCGAUGAAACGACUUUGUUUUGCGUGAGUGCAAGCAUUAUGCGCUAAGCUGAAUGUCACCGAAAUUACAGAAGGCAGGCUAUAGCCCCCA
rnacentral:RNase_P_RNA from 14 species